UAUUUGUCAUUGUUGAGAAAUUUUGUUUAACGACCCCGUUGAAGUUUUUCCGCGACUUUUCGCUCACAGCAACUCGUUUAACCGUUUUUCCUCCCGACGACUUUUGUCUGGCCAGGCUCAUCCGUCAUCGUCAUGGACCGCAGCUGCAUUUCUCGACACUCUGUUUGUAUUUAUCUUUGCGAGAUUGUGGUUCUAAAGGAUGCUGCGUCUGACACUGGUGGUGGUGGUGGUGAUGAUGUAAACAUCUUUAUGUGCCAUCGUCGAUCGUAAAUCUCAUUGAGACCAUUUCGCCCCCACCCCCCUUCUUCUUCUUCAUGUCCCCUCCACUUAUCUAGCUGGAAAAUUCUUCCAACUUGAGUCGACUCGAUCGUUUCUGGAGAUGAGGCAAGGAAAUUUGUUUGGAAUUUUUCCGCCUGCUAUGAUCACAUCCACCAAGUUUAAUGCUGCCGGGACCGAUCUUGUCUCUUCGGCCACUUGAGCUGAUGUGAUCGCGUCGUCUCCGAGACUUUGGUCGUGGGUUUUUCUUUUUUGGCCAAAAGUGGGAAAUCAUCGGUCUUCGGGUCGUGGCCGGCUCGUUUGACGAGGAAAUGUAUAGAGCGCUCGCUUAUUGCUGCAAUAGCCUCUAGUAUAUAGUGUAGAGAUGCGUGCUUCGGCGCCCUUCUUGGGGUGCCCCCUCCCCCCACUUGAGACCCCCCCCCCCACCCAAUUUUCACACUAGACUCUCGGGUUUUGUGCUCAUCACUAGUGGGACAAGUCGGCGCGAUUCUAUCUCGUGCCGCUAUCGGCCCCACCACGCUAUCUCAAUACAUUUAUUUUUAAUUCAAAAGAUCCAAUUUUUUGUAUACACCCUUUUCUAUCGGCACUAGAAAAUGCGAUCUGGCGUCCCAAUAUGAAUUAUAUGUUUGAACCCUUAAAGUGCUGAUUAAAAAUGCAACAAUAAAAGCUAGAAAUUUAGUUUGCGUUCCCCUUUUUGAAGAUCUAAUAAUUUUGAAGAUCUAAUGAAACACCCAAAGUUGUUGGCUUAAUAUUGAACCAGGAAAUAAUCCAACCUAGUUAAAAAUAAAUACAUCCAAGAAUCCAUCAUCCUACCAAGUAGCUGAUCUCAGCAACCCAGCAUGUUUUCCACCCAGACGCCAACACAACAUCAGUCAUCACAGCGCACAGCUGACCGCCGCCGUUGAUCGAUCUUCCCACGUGCGGUUCCGACCUACUAGAAAAACUACACCCAGCCUACUACACUUACCAACUAGCUGCACCGAACCGUGCGGCGAUGAUGCACUCA